ACGGUGGGUCAUUUAGAAACCGACCGACCGACGGGUGGGUCAAUUAGAAACUGACCGACCGAUGGGUGGGUCAUUUAGAAACUGACUGACCGACGGGUGGGUCAUUUAGAAACCGACCCACCGACGGGUGGGUCAUUUGGAAACCGACCCACCGACGGGUGGGUCAUUUAGAAACCGACCGACGGGUGGGUCAUUUGGAAACCGACCGACGGACGGACGGGUGGGUCAUUUGGAAACCGACCGACGGACGGACGGGUGGGUCAUUUGGAAACCGACCGACGGACGGGUGGGUCAUUUAGAAACCGACCGACAGACGGUGGGUCAUUUAGAAACCGACCGACGGGCUGGUCAUUUAGAAACCGACCGACCGACGGGUCGGUCAUUUAGAAACCGACUGAGCUAAUUAAACUGUUAAGCUAUUAAGCCGCUCCCCCUGUUCCCAGGAUGUACAUUGCUCCAGGAUGUUAAACUCUUCCUUUGUGACAUUUCUGAAGGCGACAGCUUUUGUUUGUUGUUUUCUUCUAAUCAGCCCUCGAAGUACCGCACAGCCCAGUUUGUAUUCUUAAUGGUGUUUUGCUUUGUUGGAGAUUUUCUCUUCGUCAUUCAAUACAUUAUUUUUCACAUCUGCAUGCCUCGGUAGUAUUUCCUGGGUAGUAUAUUAUUUUCUCCUCCCCAUUCAUCCAUAUUCAUGCUGCCGAAAAGAGCAAAAUAAAUGUUCCACUCACACGUUUUAGUUUUCGCAAAACAAAGUAUUGAUUUAGCUGUUGCUAUGACAACCAUCUGAAUUUGCUGUCGGUGAUGGUCGCACCCAUUCGCAAUUAUAUGGGACAGUUCAAUAUCGAAAAGGUCAGAGAGACAGACAACGAGGUGCAUACUAAUCUCUGCUGUUGGAAACCAAGUGUUAGUCUAAAAGAAAUGUGAGAUAAUGUCUAGAUGCUUUUCUAUAGUGGAGCUCAAGUUUAUACAUUGCCCGGCUGGGCUGAUGAGACAGUGGAUUGCAGCAGUCAGAUGGAACAGAGUAAAUAGGCAUUUUAACAUCUCAGAUUUAGCCGGUGGCAACUUGUGGAAUAGACACCGGCUGGAAUGCGGUUUCACCCAAUCAGCAUUCAGGAUUAGACUCACCAGUAGUAUUAAAAUAUAAUAUUAUCUCCAGUUCUCCUUCUCCUCGUUGCAAGCACCAUGCUCUACCAACUGAGCUCCAGAGGAACUCUAACCUGAUCUGUUUCCUCUCUCUCUCUCUCUCUCUCUCGCUCUCUCGCUCUCUCUCUCUCGCGCUCGCUCUCUCUCACUCUCUCUCUCUUGCGCGCUCUCGCUCUCUCUCUCUUUCUCUCCCUUUCUUUCUCUGAGUUUGUAUCUUAGUCACUUUAAAUCACUGUCACCACCUAAUGCCCCCCACUUCCCAACCGAUCCAGGACCAGCGUGUACCCCACAACAACGGUGUCACUACUGACGGCGGCAACAAUGAUGAUAACAACAUCAUCAAUAAUGGCAGCAACAACAUCAAUGGCAGCAGCAGCAUCAAUAAUGACAGCAACAACAACAGCAUCAAUAAUGACAACAACAGCAUCAAUACUGACAGCAACAACAACGGAUCAUAUUUACAUAAGUAUUCAGACCAUUUACUCAGUACUUUGUUGAAGCACCUUUGGCAACUAUUACAGCCUCAAUAUUUUCCUCAAUUAUCAGGUCUCUCCAGAGUUGUUUGGUCAGGUUCAAGUCCGGGCUCUGGCUGGACCACUCAAGGACAGUGAGACUUGUCCCGAAGCCACUCCUGCGUUGUCUUGGCUGUGUGCUUAGCAUUGUUGUCCUGUUGGAAGGUGAACCUUCUCCCCAGUCUGAGGUCCUGAGGGAUCUGAAGUAAGUUUUCAUCAAGGAUCUCUCUGUACUUUGCUCCUUUCAUCUUUGCCUCGGUCCUGACUAGUCUCCCAGUCACUACCUCUGAAAAACAUCCCCACAGCGUGAUGCUGCCUCCACGCUUCACAAUAGGGCUGGUCCCAGGUUUCCUAUAGAUGUUGACUCUUGGCAUUCAGACCAAAGAGUUCAAUGUUGGUUUCAUCAGACAAGAGAAACGUGGUCUGAGAGUUCUGUGGAGAGCUCUGUCAGAGCUCCAUCGGGUUUUUGGUCACCUCCCUGACCAAGGAGCUUCUCCACCGAUUGCUCAGUUUGGCCGGGCGGCCAGAUCUAGGAAGAGUCUUGGUGGUACAAAACUGUGUUCUUGGCAUCCUUCGAUGCUGCAGAAAUGUUUUGGUACCUUCCCCAGAUCUGUGCCUCGACACAAUCCUGUCUCGGAGCUCUACGGACAAUUCCUUCGACCUCAUGGCUUGGUUUUUGCUCUAACAUGCACUGUCAACUGUGGGACCUUAUAUAGACUGGUGUCUGGUAAUUUACCACAGAUGGACUCCAAGUUGUAGAAACAUCUCAAGGAUGAUCAAUGGAAACAGGAUGCACCUGAGGUCAAUAUCAAGUCUCAUAGGAAAGGGUCUGAAUACUUAUGUGAAUAAGGUCUUUCAGUUAUAUAUAUAUAUAUAUAUAUACACACACACACACACACACACAGUGGGGCAAAAAAGUAUUUAGUCAGCCACCAAUUGUGCAAGUUCUCUCACUUAAAAAGAGAGUGGAGGACAGAGGAGCCUCUUAAAGAAGAAGUUACAGGUCUGUGAGAGCCAGAAAUCUUGCUUGUUUGUAGGUGACCAAAUACUUAUUUUCCACCAUAAUUUGCAAAUAAAUUCAUUAAAAAUCCUACAAUGUAAUUUUCUGGAUUUUUUUUCCCUCAUUUUGUCUGUCAUAGUUGAAGUGUACCUAUGAUGAAAAUUACAGGCCUCUCUCAUCUUUCUUGUUUACACUUCAUCAUUACGGGGUAUUUGUGUGUAGAUUGCUGAGGAUAUAUAUAUUUUUAAAUCCAUUUUAUAAUGAGGCCGUUAUGUAACAAAAUGUGGAAAAAGUCAAGGGGUCUGAAUACUUCCCGAACAAGGGGGUGUCUGUGUGUCUGUGUCAUCUGUGUGUGUGUGUGUGUGUGUACAUAUAUGAUUACCUUAAGACUCUUGGUGGGUGGAAGGAAGAUCGUUUGUUAUAGGAGGAUGGGUGUUGUAGAAACAGCCCACAUUUCAAACCAGGGACGGGUUUGGAUACAGAAGGACAGGAUUUUAACUUUUUCAUUUGAAACACAAAAAUGUUGUACUAUUUAUUAAAAAUAAAAUUACGUCAGGAAAUGUUUGGUUUUUGUUCAAAAUGUAAAUGUCAACUUUAGGUCAAUUGGCAUUUCUUAUUUUGCUACACUGGUGUGUGGGUUGUUUGUAUGUGUAGCACAAUAUAUUGCUUUCUGCAUGGGAUACUAUUGUGAGAGAAUGACUACACUCCUGCCCAUGCUUUAAAUGUCAAUAGUGACCUUAAGAACAGUGUAGUUUUUUUAUUGUUGGAGACAGGAAUCUGAUCACCAACCCCCCCUCUGUACAUGAUGAAGGGGAUUGGAUAAAGUUGGGGUCAAUUCGAAUUGAAGGCAGGAAGAGAUUUGAUUUAUUUUAUUUUUUUAAUUUAAGAAAUCUUUUGAAAUUAUCAGCUUCUACUUUUCAGUUCAUUCAAAAAUAUGUACCUUUUAUUUUUUUUUAUUUUUUAGGAAUUUCAGUUUCUUCCAUCCUAUGGAAUUGAGCCCUGCUCUAGAUACUGUUCUAGGAUCAGUUGUGUAUUUCUCCCAUCCAUGGUUAAGGCUAAGCUUUGCAGAGAAUAAGCUGAUCCUAGCUCUGGGCAACAUGGGAAACUAGUUUCACUUGGAGCUUCUAGAGGUCGAUCAGGACAAGGUCAUCGGGUCAGGGCUCAAAGGUCAGACAGGCCCUGGUUGUAUGUACACUGCCCAGCGACCUUUCACCUCUCCUCCAGAGACUAGGUGUGCUUCCCAAAUGGCACCAUAUUCCCUAUAUAGUGCACUAGCCCACAUAGGGCUCUGGUCUAAAGUAGUGCACUAUAAAUAGGAAAUAGGGUGCCAUAGGGCUCUGGUCUAAAGUAUUUUUAUCAGCCCUCUGAUUACAAUUGAGAGCAAAACGUGCUGCUCUGUUGUCAGCCAGCUGCAGCUUAACUAGGUGUUUCCUUGCAGCACUGGACCACAAGACUGGUCAAUAAUCAAGAUGAGAUAAAUCUAGAGCCUGCAGGACUUGCUUUGAGGAGUGUGGUGUAGAAAAAAGCAGAGCAUCUCUUUAUUACGUCUACCUCUCCCCGUCUUUGAAACCAUUGAAUCUACAGUGGCAUGUGAAAGUAUUCACCCCCCUUGGUAUUUUUCCUAUUUUGUUGCCUUACAACCUGAAAUUAAAAUAUAUUUUGGGGGGGGUUUGUAUCAUUUGAUUUACACUUUGAAGAUGCAAAAUAUGUUUUAUAAUGAAACAAACAAAAAACAUUACAAAAACAGAACCCCACCUCCCCCCCAAAAGUCAAUACUUUGUAGAGCCACCUUUUGCAGAAAUUACAGCUGCAAGUGUCUUGGGGUAUGUGUCCAUCUAGCCAAUGGGAUUAGGAUAUACCUCUGUGCAACUGGUGAUUGAAAAUAGGCACCUGGUAACCUAAAAAUUAAAUGGUAUUUUAGCCCAUUCUUCAAGGCAAAACUGCUCCAGCUCCUUCAAGUUGGAUGGGUUCCGCUGGUGUACAGCAAUCUUUAAGUCAUACCACAGAUUCUCAAUUGGAUUGAGGUCUGGGCUUUGACGAGACAUUGAAAUGUUUCCCCUUAAACCACUCAAGUGUUGCUUUAGCAGGAUGCUUAGGGUCAUUGUCCUGCUGGAAGGUGAACCUUCAUCCCAGUCUCAAAUCUCUGGAAGACUGAAACAGGUUUUCCCAAGAAUUUCCCUGUAUGCAUCAUGUUGUGGGGGUGCUUUGCUGCAGGAGGGACUGGUGCACUUCAUAAAAUAGAUGGCGUCAUGAGGGAGGAAAAUGAUGUGGAUAUAUUGACGCAACAUCUCAAGACAUCAGUCAGGAAGUUAAAGCUUGGUCGCAAAUGAGUCUUCCAAAUGGACAAUGUCCCCAAGCAUACUUCCAAAGUUGUGGCAAAAUGGCUUAAGGACAAAGUCAAGGUAUUGGAGUGGCCAUCACAAAGCCCUGACCUCAAUCCUAUAGAACAUUUGUGGGCAGAACUGAUAAACCGUGUGCGAGCAAGGAGGCCUACAAACCUGACUCCGUUACACCAGUUCUGUCAGGAGGAAUGGGCCAGAAUUCACCCAACUUAUUGUGGGAAGCUUGUGGAAGGCUACCCGAAACGUUUGACCCAAGUUAAACAAUUUAAAGGCAAUGCUACCAAAUACUAAUUGAGUAUAUGUAAACUUCUGACCCACUGGGAAUGUGAUGAAAGAAAUAAAAGCUGAAAUAAAUCAUUUGACUAUUAUUCUGACAUUUCACAUUCUUCAAAUAAAGUGGUGAUCCUAACUGACCUAAAACCAGUGAAUUUAGAAACAAGAAUUUCCCUGUAUGUCGCACCAUGCGUCAUUCCCUCAAUUCUGACCAGUUUCCCAGUCCCUGCCGAUGGAAAAACAUCCCCACAGCAUGAUGCUGCCACCACCAUGCAUCAUUCCCUCAAUUCUGACCAGUUUCCCAGUCCCUGCCGAUGGAAAAACAUCCCCACAGCAUGAUGCUGCCACCACCAUGCAUCAUUCCCUCAAUUCUGACCAGUUUCCAAUCUGACCAGGGGAUAACAACGUUAGGCUCCCUACUCCCUAUAUAGUGAAUGAGUUAACAACAUUAGGCUCCCUAUAUAGUGAAGGGGUUAACAACGUUAGGCUCCCUACUCCCUAUAUAGUGAAUGAGUUAACAACAUUAGGCUCCCUAUAUAGUGAAUGAUGAAUGAGUUAACAACAUUAGGCUCCCUACUCCCUAUAUAGUGAAUGAGUUAACAACAUUAGGCUCCCUAUAUAGUGAAUGAGUUAACAACGUUAGGCUCCCUAUAUAGUGAAUGAGUUAACAACGUUAGGCUCCCUAUAUAGUGAAUGAGUUAACAACGUUAGGC
ensembl:lncRNA